CAGCGGCAGGGGGAGGCUUCUCGCUGCGCGCCCCGAGGAAGUCCUGUGAGCGCAGCGGAAGUGGCAGCGCGGGGCUCUGCUAGGACAGAGAUGCCGUUCAGUUUCCAGAAGUUUCCUCGGACGGGCGAACUGGCCCACCUGCCACGGCGAGAGCAGGGGGAAGGAGGCAGAGAGGACGGCGCUGGCCCCGCAGCUCGCGGUGGUUCCCGGCCGCAGCGUUCCUGCGCGGGGCAGAGGGGCUGCCCUGUGCCGGGAGCUGCUCUCCGUGCCCCUCCGAGCUGCCCUGCACCACCUACCGCUCGCCCCGUCCUCCAGCUCCCCGCGACACCGAGGAGGAGCCGAGGGCAGCGCGGCCCGACACCGGCAGCGCUCACGCCAGGAGCCUCUCCCAGCCCGCGCCGGUGGAGGAGUUCCUCUGCCUGACGGGGAGGGAGUGCCAACGAGUAAUUCCCCCGGCUGACUUCUCCGGCGACUCCUCUGUCACGCUCACCCCGCCAUAACCUGCGUAACUACAAGCACCAUGAGCUACGACGCUGCCGCAGCUGAGAGACCUUAACCUGAGAGCACGGCACCGCUCGCGGAGCGACAUUCAGCCCUUCCCGAACCCGGCCGCGGCAGCUCCGGUCCAGCUCGCGCCAUUUGUGAAUGACGCGGACGGGCCAAAGGCUCCUCUCUGCCCUGGCUCUGCUGGGCCAGGGGAGCAGGAGGGGGCUUCCAGGGGACGGUAGGACUGCCUGGAAAACAGCAAACCUGCGUGGCUUGAAAACGGCCUUAAACCUGCUUGGGAAAAGGCGUUUUUUCUGCUGCCUGCCCUGCAUCUCACCACGGUUUUGCCUCAGGCUGGGCUUUUCUGUGCUCAUCCCCCCGAGCUGUUUGUUCCCGGCAGGAUGAGUGCCUUCGCUGGGAAGUGCUAGCCCUCGCUAGCGCAGGUGGGCCCUGUGCUCAGCUCCUGCUGUAGUAAAAGCUGCCAAUCACUGUUAGAAAAGCUGGGAACGGGGAGGUGAGGGAUGCCGGGCAAGGGGAGGGGGGGAGAGGGGCAUAGCAAAACCCCGUAACAAAAACUUUCUGAAAUAAAAACCCUUUUAAAACACUCUCUGCCUCCA
rnacentral:lncRNA from 1 species